AAAGUUCGAAAUAUCAUAAGUUUGUUGGAAAAUUAUUAGGAGCAAUAGCUUACUUCUUUUUUUGAAACACUUUUGUUUCGAGGACCUGCUUCCUUGUCAUUCGUUUUUUCUUGUAAUGAAGAGAUUGCUAACACUGAGGUUUUUGGAUUUUAGGUACUGUCCAAGAUUGUCAAUUCCCAUAUAUAAAUAUUUCUAACGUGUAUUUGUAUCAAUAUUUCAAGCAUCAUUUUGUAGAACAAAUGUAAGAUACAAUUUAGAGAGCAUCUUCGUUGCAUCAUUGUACUGGAUAGCAAAUUGUUGGAAACGUGCAACAUAAAAGCAUCAUCAGUAUUCUUUAAGAUGAGUUCAUAAGCUUACUUAACUGUUCAUAUUUACAGAGAUAAUGAGUUUGCAUGAUGUUUUUGUUGUUCUUUCCAUUGUCUUAAAACGUGAAACUUUUGUCGAACCCGAAUAUGUGUAAUGUUGUUGUCUUUCUUUCAUUAUCGCCCUCUUCUUUUUUUCUUGCCGUGUAUGGCGUGAAAAAUGUAUUAACCUAUAUACAUCACAAAUUAAAUAGAAAAGAUAAAGACUGAAAGCAUUUAUCAGUUCAACAAUAAUGAACAAACACUAUAUGGUCUACUGUGUCAAAGUUGGUCAGCUAGGUUUUGUAGUGGAAAAUAUCAAGUAACCACAAUGACAGAAACGUUGGUCAGAUGAAAUUUUGGUUUUCAGAUAUAAAUGUUUCUUCAGACGCAAGACACACGUCCAGUGGAGUUCAAAGAUUAUUUUAAACAUACGAUGCAAUCGUCGUUGACAUACAAUGAUCAAAGAAUCAUGCGAUCAAUGAUGAUUUUCCCAGAGGAAGGAAAAACACCAGUGAGUAGACAUAAUAUAAUCCAUACUCAUGUCUUGUUAUACCCUCUAAAUAGCUGCUCAUACAAAUCCAUCACCAACCACAGAAAAUACCCUUUUAUGUUCGAUACUUUCCUGUUUUAGGAUAUUAAAUCAUAGUCUGACACAGUCGUAGAACCUGUGCUACUUACUACUGUAGAAGUUACCUGAGUGAAUAAGCACUGCCUUAAUGUGUAAUCUCAGAUAUUUAAUCCCCCCUCAUUUCCUCAACUGAUGCUUUGAGGAGUCGUUUGACCUGUAAAUAAAGAAGCAUUCACCGGAGAUAGAGUUGCAGUCAUGAACCGGACGGUGACUUAGAUGAGAGUCGCCUGCAAAUACGGCAACAAACAAAACUAAAAUCAACAAACAAACCAAAAUCAUCUCCCAAAGAGGUAAACUCAAUCUUAUCGAAAUAGUUUGAUGAUCAUGAGUUUCUCACCAGAAACACUUUUGCAUCGAGGAGGAGAAGGUCUACACCGAUAUGGUUGCCGCCGCUCUUCAUAUUUCUCGCCUCCCAAAACCUAAGCAGUAGAUCACGGACAGACUACAAAUCAGCGAGGAGGAGAACAAAAUUAGUCAUUCUUCAUAUUUAAUUAAUUAAUUUGAAGACGGCAGAGAUGUGUAAAGCAGUUAACCGUAGAAAUUACACAGACGUUAAAAAUA